ACGUAGGUGGCGAGCGUUGUCCGGAAUUAUUGGGCGUAAAGGGAGCGCAGGCGGGAGGUCAAGUCUAUCUUAAAAGUGCGGGGCUCAACCCCGUGGAGGGGAUGGAAACUGGUCUUCUUGAGUGCAGGAGAGGAAAGCGGAAUUCCUAGUGUAGCGGUGAAAUGCGUAGAUAUUAGGAGGAACACCAGUGGCGAAGGCGGCUUUCUGGACUGUAACUGACGCUGAGGCUCGAAAGCGUGGGGAGCGA
rnacentral:rRNA from 1 species